UGAGCUUGACUCUAAUCGAAGGCUUACGUUCCACGUGGGCUACUUACUAGAUUGAGUGGGGCUCA
rnacentral:ncRNA from 1 species